CCACACCUAAAAACUUUCCACGUGAACCGUCAAGUAAUAGAUUCAGUGCCUCUGCUGUGGCUGUGGCGUUUUCGGACGCUGCGCUGUGGCGGAGGAGGAACGAAGGUUGGUCUUGUGCGUGCACAGCAAUGUGUGUGUGCGGGACUGGCUGAUCUAUUUUUUUCAAACCCCAUACAAAAUGACUGAUUUAUACUGUGAGAACGAAAGUUCUUGCUUUUAACUAGAUAACAACUUUCAGCAGUGGAUGUCUAGGCUCGCACAUCGAUGAAGAACGCUGCGAACUGCGAUACGUAAUGCGAAUUGCAGAAUUCAGUGAGUCAUCGAAAUUUUGAACGCAUAUUGCACUUCCGGGUUCGUCCUGGAAGUAUGUCUGUAUCAGUGUCCGUAAAUCAAAGUUGCCUUUCUUUUUCUGUGUAGUCAGGAGAAGAUGAGUGCAGAUGUGAAGUGUCUCGCUGGCCUGCUUCUCUCUUUGGGGAGUCGACAGGUAUCGAGUCCUUUUAAAACGACACGAUCUUUCUACUGUUACUGAGAAGUGUGACGCUCGAAUGCGGUGGUCUUCGGAUCGCGUGCAGUUGUCGGGGUCCUCGGCGUGAACAUAUGGAGGAAGCCUCGAUUCGCGGUAUGUUAUGCUUCGGCUGUACAAUGUUGCGUGAUUGGGAGUGGAAUUCGUUUGUGCCUUGAGGUGUACUGACGGUUGUGUGCUUGAACUGGAGGUUGUUGUUGUGUCGAGUGUUGUGUGAUGUACAGCGACGCCACUUCAUUUUGUUGUGGGUAGAGGACGUCUAUUUGGGAAAGAAGUAGUAUCGACAGCUUUUAGUAGUUGAAGGUAGUAUCUCAAUUGGACCUGAUAUCAGACAAGACUACCCGCU
rnacentral:rRNA from 1 species